UACGUAGGGGGCAAGCGUUGUCCGGAUUUAUUGGGCGUAAAGAGCGUGUAGGCGGCCAUACAGGUCCGUUGUGAAACUGGAGGCUUAACCUCCAGACGUCGAUGGAAACCGUAUGGCUAGAGUCCGGAAGAGGAGAGUGGAAUUCCUGGUGUAGCGGUGAAAUGCGCAGAUAUCAGGAGGAACACCAAUGGCGAAGGCAGCUCGCUGGGACGUGACUGACGCUGAGACGCGAAAGCGUGGGGAGCAAACAGG
rnacentral:rRNA from 1 species